rnacentral:lncRNA from 1 species
GUGGCAAGUGAGCAAGCCCGCGGCGGCCGGGGGCUGACGUCAGGGGGGCGGGGGAGGGGGCCCGGAGCGCGGGGCUGGCCCGCCACGCCCCGCGCAGCCCCCCGCCCCCGCCCCGCGCCGCAGCCCUAGGGGGCGGGUCCGGCGCCGGAGGCCGGGAGCUGCGCCGAGCCGCGCCGCUCGCGGAGGGGGAGGCCGGAGGCGGCCUCCCCGCCCCCCACCCUGGUCAGGGUGAGGGGGCAGUGACAGGUGUCUCUAGGCCGGACCGUCUGGCCGAGGCAGCAGCAAGGAGAAGCUGGCCCGGAUGCCCAGAGUCACGCCGGCCCGCGAGACCUCUGCCACAGAGAAAUCGGCCGGCCACGGUCGCUUCCCAGAACGAUUGCACCACUGCGGCUGCCGCCGGCCUGGCGCUGCCCCCAAGCCUCGCAGUCCUGGCAGCUUGGAGGGGAGAACCCUGGGCCGGAUCCCACAGACCCAGAGAGCUUUGAGUAACCCGGGAGGAGCCCUGGAGGAGGGGAGCCUUGUUCCACUCCACUCCGGGAAGGCGUGCUGUGAUCCUGCUGAAGUUGCCACAGCUGAUCCUGGAGGAGGGGAGAGAGGUGGGAGAAAGAGAAGAGGGGAGGCAAGACAGGAGCUUGCUUCCUGCCACCCUGACCCACACCCCAGGGUCUGGGGCUUCAGAACUUGA